rnacentral:tRNA from 1 species
GCCCGAAUAGCUCAGCAGGUUAGAGCACUUGACUGUUAAUCAGGGGGUCGUUGGUUCGAGUCCAACUUCGGGCGCCA